GUCGUAGUGGUGUAUGGUGAAAAUGUCAGGCUGUAGUGGUCAAGGGUGAAAAUGUCAGGCUGUAGUGGUCAAGGGUGAAAAUGUCAGGCUGUAGUGGUCUGUGGUGAAAAUGUCAGGUCGUAGUGGUGUAUGGUGAAAAUGUCAGGUCGUAGUGGUCAAGGGUGAAAAUGUCAUGUCGUAGUGGUCAAGGGUGAAAAUGUCAGGCUGUAGUGGUCUGUGGUGAAAAUGUCAGGUCGUAGUGGUGGGAGUGUUUGAACAGACACAAUUCUAGUGACAAACUGUCUGGAGAUUACAGCCCCACCCGUCAAGCGCGAAAACAACCGUGUUCUUGCAAAGUAAAGAAUGAGGGGAAAAAAAUAAAAUGGCCGAGUGUUGGCUCUGGUAGAGAACGAAACAAACAUCAUGUUCAGGCAUGGUCCUAUAGAG
ensembl:lncRNA